UUAUGAUGGAUUGAAUGUGCGUGUUGGCGAUGGAAGUGUAGAUUCAACUGGUUGAUCAAAUCGUUUUGUUUUAAUAGUAGGACAACUAUAUACCUUUAAGCUUGGAGCAAACUAUGUUUUUUUGUUUUUUAGAUUUUCACUAUUAUAAUUAACUUUGUUUUUUAAGAAUUGGCAUAUUUAU
rnacentral:sRNA from 2 species